UACGUAGGGACCAAGCGUUGUUCGGAUUUACUGGGCGUAAAGGGCGCGUAGGCGGCAUGACAAGUCACUUGUGAAAUCUCCGGGCUUAACCCGGAACUGCCAAGUGGUACUGUCGCGCUAGAGUGCGGAAGGGGCAAUCGGAAUUCUCGGUGUAGCGGUGAAAUGCGUAGAUAUCGAGAGGAACACCUGAGGUGAAGACGGGUUGCUGGGCCGACACUGACGCUGAGUGCGCGAAAGCCAGGGGAGCAAACGGG
rnacentral:rRNA from 1 species